rnacentral:tRNA from 1 species
UUUGGAGUAGCUCAGUUGGUUAGAGCGUUUGAUUGAAAAUUAAAAAGCCAUUGGUUCAAAUCCUAUCUUCGAAA